GACCGCUCCGGUGGUCUAGUGGUUAGACCGUCCGCCUCUGAUGCAGGAGGUCUUGGGUUUGAUCAUCGGCCGAGUCA